rnacentral:pre_miRNA from 1 species
UUGCAAUGUUUCUUGCUCAAAUGAGUAUUCCAAGUCGCACCAGCAAAUGUCAAAAUGCAAACUAAUGCAUAUUUUGGUGCUUGUUUUUGCCAUGCUAAUUUGAGUAAGAAAUGUUGCAA